rnacentral:rRNA from 1 species
AUUGAACGCUGGCGGCAGGCCUAACACAUGCAAGUCGAGCGCGCGGCGGACGGGUGUGUAAUGUCUGGGAAACUGCCUGAUGGAGGGGGAUAUCUCCUGGAAACGGUAGCUCAUACCGCAUACCAUCAGAUGUGCGCACAUUGGAUUAGCUAGUAGGUGGGGGAACGGCUCACCUCGGCGACGAUCCCUAGCUGGUCUGAGAGGAUGACCAGCCAAACUGGAACUGAGACACGGUCCAGACUCCUACGGGAGGCAGCAGUGGGGAAUAUUGCACAAUGGGCGCAAGCCUGAUGCAGCCAUGCCGCGUGUGUGAAGAAGGCCUUCGGGUUGUAAAGCACUUUCAGCGGGGAGGCGUUACCCGCAGAAGAAGCACCGGCUAACUCCGUGCCAGCAGCCGCGGUAAUUC